rnacentral:lncRNA from 1 species
GAGAAAAAUGUUAUCAUCUAGUGGGCAGGCCAAAGAUAAAUUUCAGAAAAAGGUUCAAGGUAAAAAACCUCAGGGCAGUACAACAGAAUCAGAUAUUGCAAAUCAAGUGGCAUCCACUAGCAACCAGCAACAACUCAUGUUAACCCAAGAAGAAAUUCAGCUCUUUAAAAAACUAAUCUCCUCAACCAAAACAAACAGCAAUUCUGGUAAUAUUUCUUCUUUUUCAUUCAAUAUAAAUUCUUACAUUGAUAAAUGGAUAGUAGACACCGGGGCAUCACAACAUAUGACCGGUAGCCUCCAUUUAUUCACAAAACCCCUAAUCCAAGAACAUAACCACUUUGUUACUAUACCUAGUGG